UCCGGUGGCGAUGCGUCUGGGAGGAGCACCCGUUCCCAUCCCGAACACGCCGGUUAAGGCCCAGACGGCCGAUGGUACUAUGCCGCGAGGCAUGGGAGAGCAGGUGGCCGCCGGAA
rnacentral:rRNA from 1 species